UGGGGAAUAUUGGACAAUGGGGGCAACCCUGAUCCAGCCAUGCCGCGUGAGUGAUGAAGGCCUUAGGGUUGUAAAGCUCUUUCACCCGGGACGGAUAAUNNCGGUACCGGGAGAAGAAGCCCCGGCUAACUUCGUGCCAGCAGCCGCGGUAAUACGAAGGGGGCUAGCGUUGUUCGGAAUCACUGGGGCGUAAAGCGCACGUAGGGCGGACCGUUAAGUCGGAGGUGAAAUCUGGGGCUCAACCCCAGAACUGCCUUCGAUACUGGGCGGUCUCGAGUCCGGAGGAGGUGAGUGGAACUGCCAGUGUAGAGGUGAAAUUCGUAGAUAUUGGCAAGAACACCAGUGGCGAAGGCGGCUCACUGGUCCGGUACUGACGCUGAGUGC
rnacentral:rRNA from 1 species